rnacentral:lncRNA from 1 species
CCACAUUGUCCACAAUCUGUCUUUUGCCAAUAAAAGUUGACUGGUUAGGGAAAAUAAUAGUAGGCAGGUAUCUUUUAAUUCUUGCAACUAUAAUCUUGGCAAUAAUUUUGUAAACCGUUGAACACAAGCUAAUGGGUCUAUAUUGGCUUAUAUAGCUGGGAUUUUUUAUUUUUGGUAUUAGAGUAAUAAGAGUUUGAUUCCAAGAGUGAAUUAGACG